GAGAGGCAGAGCAACACUCCAGUGCCAGAGUGUUAGUCAGUCACGGUUGAACCUGUCUGAAACCAGAAACCCCCUGAAGAGUUUCUCUGUUGGAAAUCUGUCUGUCUGAUCUCAGAAGAACCCUGGAGAACCAAACCUGUCAAAGAUCUGCCAGCCUCCUUAUCGCCCUGCAUUUGGAGUUGAUGAUACCAUCUUACACCUGCUUUAAAAAAAAACACUGUCAUUUAGACGAGGCAGAUAGCCCUGUGAGGAUCAUGGUCUUUGAUUUCUCCAGUGCAUUUACUAGACAGAAUUCUGUCAUCUGCAGAAAUACUUGGAUGACUCUGCAGUCAUUGGGUGCAUCAAAGAUGGACAAGAAGCUGAGUACAGAGAGCUGAUAAACCGCAUUGUGGCAUGAUGUGGAAAUAAUCUUCUGAUCCUGAAUGUCAACAAAACAAGGAAGAUGAUUGUAGAUUUCAGAAGAACAGGAACAAGUUGAAUCCUAUUAACAUCAAGGGAGAGGAAGUACAGGUGGUUGAGGAAUAUAAAUACCUUGGUGUUCACCUACACAACAAACUAGACUGGAGACACAACUGUGAAUUUGUCUGUAAGAAGGGACAGAGCAGACUAGUUUCUAAGGAAGCGUAGGUCCUUUGGCAUUUCCAGCAAGAUGCUGCAUAUCUUCUAGUCUGUUGUGGAGAGUGUGAUCUCUUCUUCCAUCCUCUGCUGGGGUGACAGCAUUAGAGCAAAUUAUUUUAAAAAAGCUCAACAAGCUAAGGCCAGCUCUGUUCUGGGAACUCCUCUUGAACUUCUGGAGAUUAUUUCACAAAGAAGAAUUCUUUAUAAAGUGAAUAACAUUAUGGACAGCAGAAGAUUUUUAAACAACAACAGAGUGUCUUCAGUAAGAGGCUUCUCCUGAUCUGGUGCAAGACAGACCAAUACAGAAUAUCCUUCCUUCCCACAGUUAUUAACACCUACAACACAUGUUUAAAAAUAACUUAUGAGUUACUGCAACAUUUAAUUUUCCUUUGGCAUUUAAAAAGUAUUUUAGAAUUUAAUUUAUAUUGUGAUAUGAAAUUAUACAAUAUCUAUAUAGGAAAAAAUGUGACACAGUACAAUACAAUAUGAUAUAAUGCAAUAUAGUAUGGCUGAUAAUAAUAGUAAAUACAAUUGAUUUUAUGAAUACAAUAAUAAGAUUAUAUGAUUCAAAAUGUAUAAAUCAGUGUAGUCAAAUCAUAGAUAAUAUAUUGCAACAUGAUAUCAAAAAAUGGUAUGUGUUAUGAUAUCAUACAGUGAUACAAUACAUAGCAUACAUGAGCUGACAUAUGUUAGAACUGCAAUAUAAUAAGCAUGGUAAGACAUGUAUCAGUUCAGUAUUAUAUAAUAGGCAUGCAAGAUAAUGAGAUACAAAUCAAUCCAAGUAAUAGUUUGUGAACUCAAAGUAUUCUGUAUGCUGCUAUAAAUUAUAUGAUAUGAUAUUUUAUAUUUUGAACAGCCUCAAAAAAUAAAGCAACGGCAGAGAACACUCCAUGUUUAGCAUGUAGACAUUUUAAAUUCUGAAUGUGUGGAGCUUUUUAUCUUCUGUGUCAAUUAUUUUUGUUCUGAUGUUUAGAAUAUUUUGCCAUUUUUGUAGCUAUGUAUAAAAACGUUUAAUAUUGUCAAUUUGAGAAGAAGAUCAACACAAAAACUUCUCUAUUCAUUCCACCACUAGUGGAACUUCAGAUCAUUGGUAGUGUCCGCAUAAUCUUCCGAAGAAAUAUAAACUUACAAAAACACAAAUCAUAUUUUCAUGUAGAAAUGUUAAACUCUUUUCCCUGUAAAAA